rnacentral:lncRNA from 1 species
GGUGCAGCGGUUUAGCGCCUGCCUUUGGCCCAGGGCGCGAUCCUGGAGACCCGGGAUCGAAUCCCACAUCGGGCUCCCGGUGCAUGGAGCCUGCUUCUCCCUCUGCCUAUGUCUCUGCCUCUCUCUCUCUCUCUCUCUCUGUGACUAUCAUAAAUAAAUAAAAAUUUAAAAAAAAAAUAAAAAUAAAGCUCAGAAAACCGAGGGAAUGUAAUUAUAGCCCCUCUAGUACAUGAAGGGUUCUGAAAGAAAAGAUAACUAUUUUCCAUGUUCACUGAAGAGUUAUGAAAUAGAUGAUAGAUAGAUAGAUAGAUAGAUAGAUAGAUAGAUAGAUAGAUGAUAGAUAGAUUCAAAUUGAUAAGUGGCCAGAUUUGAUGACAGCAGAAUUGAGGUUGGAAGACAUUUCAGAGAGCUGGGCCCCAGGGUGCUGGGGAAGGAACAGAGGCACAUGUGAAACAUGAAAAGAGAGACCGUUAGCUCUUUGCAGACAUUUUAGCAAAGGCCUCCACGAGAGAGGGUGGGCUCCCCCUACUAAGAUGAUAGGAUUUUGCAAUAUAUAAGCUGGUAUUUGCCAAUAAAAACUUCCUCCUGUGUGGCCCUCGUUAUCUAAUAAUGAUUUCCUGCUUUACUUGGGCUGCCAAAUGUAUCCAAAAUGUAAUAAUCAGUGAGUGGAUUCGUAAAUCAAAUUGCAAGCUUUAGAAAUAAUGGCUAAUGCUCUGAUCAUCUGUAGUAGAGUUUUAAAGCCAGCCAAUGUCUAAGGUUUCUUGGGGUUUCCAAGUCAGCUGCAGUUUUGUUUUAACCUCUUCCCCUUUCAGCACCUCAGGAGUGAGCAGCAAGAAACCUCUUUUCCAAGAAAUGUCUUAUCUGAUUAGAAUUAUUCCCAGUUUCACCCGGAGUCAAAGUCAAAUUUUAUGACCCCGGGCUUCCCGGGCGUCAACCAGAUCCACUACUGCCUGCACUCUAACUCUUCUAGAAUCUUUUCCCAGUGGAAAACCUACUUACCUCUCUGCAAUCCCACAUCAAGAGCAUCCGCCGGCAGCCUUAGCACUUUGAGAAAUUUUGAAGUGGAGAUGGGUGAAGCUGGAAAGAGUCUGACCAGAAAUAUCAGUCCAUGGGAUGCCUGGGUGGCUCAGCAGUUGAGUGUCUGCCUUUGGCUCAGGGAAGGAUCCCUGUCCGGUGAUGGAGUCCUGCAUCAGACUCCCUGCAUGGAGCCUGCUUCUUCCUCUCCCUGUGUCUCUGCCUCUCUCUCUCUGUGUGUAUCUCUCGUGAAUAAAUAGACUUUAAAAAAAAAAAAAAAAAAAGAAGAAGAAGAAGAAGAAAAGAAAAGAAGUAUCAGUCCACAAUGGAUUGGAAAUUCUAAAAACCGGUCCUUCAGGAGCACUUGGGUAGCUCAGUCAGCUUAGCAUGUACCUUCAGCUUAGGUCAUGAUCCCAGUGUUCUGGGAUCAAGGGAUUGGGCUCCUUGCUAAGCUGAGAGACUGCUGCUCCCUCUCCCUCUGACUGCCCCUCCCCCUGCUUUCUCUCUUUCUGUCAAAUAAAUAAAUAAAAUCUUUAAAUAAAUAAGUAAGAAAUUAAAAACUAAUCCUUCACCCCAGAUAAUUUGACAAGCAUUGGUCUGAAGUCCAUCUCCCCUUGCCUACUUCUGCACAUUCUCACACACCAAAUGUACACAUGGUGAAGAAAAAGGUUAAAAACGCUUUUGCGGAACUAUGUUAAUUACAAUGUGAAAAAAGUUGAGUGACAUGGAAAAAUUAUCCUGACAUAUGUAGAAAAAAAGCAGAUUACAGAAAACAAUGUAAAGUAUAACCUUGAAUUUGCAAAAUGGAUUUAUGAAUAGCAGAAUAUGGAGGGUGGUAUCUCUAGCAUAGAGUAUCAGGUUAAUAUCUGAAGAAUAAAUGGUGGAGCUUUUUUUUUUCAUUUCCUUUUUUCAGCUUAACUAUAUUUUCCACAAUGGACAUAUAAUAUUUUGUAAUGUAAAAAUCUAAUGCAUAGUAUCACCUUUUAUUUGGAAGUUUACUGAAAGGGAAAAUUAAGACCAUGCUCUGUUUUGGUCUUUGCCUUCAUGGUUCCAUUCAGUUUAGAUUGUUGGUUAAUAAUUAAUUUUUCUAUAAAGGAAAGGAAUAAUAUUGCUUCAAAUAAUACUUGUUUAAAAAGCAAGUUUCAGUUGUUUUAAUCCAACAGAAUAUUUUCCUAUUUUUUACAAAUAAAAUAUCUGAAAAAUUUGCAACUGAACUUCUGCUUCUGGAUCAUAAAUGGUG